rnacentral:rRNA from 1 species
UACAGAGGUCUCAAGCGUUGUUCGGAUUCAUUGGGCGUAAAGGGUGCGUAGGCGGCGAGGCAAGUCUGGUGUGAAAUCCCGGGGCUCAACCCCGGAACUGCACUGGAUACUGCUUUGCUAGAGUACUGGAGAGGGAACUGGAAUUUACGGUGUAGCAGUGAAAUGCGUAGAUAUCGUAAGGAAGCCCAGCGGAGAAGGCGAGGUCCUGUACAGUUACUGACGCUGAGGCACGAAGGCCAGGUGAGCAA